rnacentral:rRNA from 1 species
AUUGGCCCUAGUAACGGCGAGUGAAGCGGCAACAGCUCAAAUUUGAAAUCUGGCUUCGGCCCGAGUUGUAAUUUGCAGAGGAAGCUUCUGGUGCGGCACCGUCCGAGUCCCCUGGAACGGGGCGCCAUAGAGGGUGAGAGCCCCGUAUGGAUGGAUGCCUAUCCUGUGUGAAGCUCCUUCGACGAGUCGAGUAGUUUGGGAAUGCUGCUCAAAAUGGGAGGUAAAUUCCUUCUAAAGCUAAAUACCGGCCAGAGACCGAUAGCGCACAAGUAGAGUGAUCGAAAGAUGAAAAGCACUUUGAAAAGAGGGUUAAACAGCACGUGAAAUUGUUGAAAGGGAAGCGCUUGUGACCAGACUUGUGCCAGGCUGAUCAUCCGGUGUUCUCACCGGUGCACUCUGCCUGGCUCAGGCCAGCAUCGGUUUUCGUGGGGGGAUAAAGGUCCCGGGAAUGUAGCUCCUUCGGGAGUGUUAUAGCCCGGGGCGUAAUGCCCUCGCGGGGACCGAGGUUCGCGCAUCUGCAAGGAUGCUGGCGUAAUGGUCACCAGCGACCCGUCUUGAAACACGGACCAAGGAGUCAAGGUUUUGCGCGAGUGUUUGGGUGCUAAACCCGCAAGCGUAAUGAAAGUGAACGUAGGUUAGAGCUUCGGGGCAUCAUCGACCGAUCCUGAUGUAUUCCGAUGGAUUUGAGUACGAACGUUAAGCCUUGGACCCGAAAGAUGGUGAACUAUGCUUGGAUAGGGUGCAAGCCCGAGGAAACUCUUGUGGGAAGGUCCCAACCGGUUCUUACAGGCAAAUCGAUCUGCCAAUCUUAACAUGGGGGGCCAAAACUAAUCGAACUUCUCCGACUGGUACCGAACCAC